rnacentral:rRNA from 1 species
AUUGAACGCUGGCGGCAGGCCUAACACAUGCAAGUCGAGCGGAUGAAGAGAGCUUGCUCUCUGAUUCAGCGGCGGACGGGUGAGUAAUGCCUAGGAAUCUGCCUGGUAGUGGGGGACAACGUUUCGAAAGGAACGCUAAUAACGCAUACGUCCUACGGGAGAAAGUGGGGGAUCUUCGGACCUCACGCUAUCAGAUGAGCCGGGGUACGAUUAGCUAGUUGGUGAGGUAAAGGCUCACCAAGGGGACGAUCGUUAACUGGUCUGAGAGGAUGAUCAGUCACACUGGAACUGAGAAACGGUCCAGACUCCUACGGGAGGCAGCAGUGGGGAAUAUUGGACAAUGGGCGAAUGCCGGAUCCAGCCAUGCCGCGUGUGUGAAGAAGGUCUUCGGAUUGUAAAGCACUUUAAGUUGGGAGGAAGGGCAGUAAGUUAAUACCUUGCUGUUUUGACGUUACCGACAGAAUAAGCACCGGCUAACUUCGUGCCAGCCGCCGCCGUAACAC